GGGCUGUAGUUUCUCUUCAUUCGCGUACAAAUCUUUCGCUUUUUACUAAAGAUUUCCAUGGAGAGGAACGUUGACAAGUUCAACUUAUUUUUUUAAGGCUUUGUCUUUGCAAAGCU